GACGAACGUUGGCGGCGUGCUUAAUACAUGCAAGUCGACUGAAGCACCGGUAGCAAUACUGGUGUGGAGGUGGCGCACGGGUGAGUAACACGUAGGUAAUCUGCCUUCAGGUCUGACAUAACUCCGGGAAACCGAAGCUAAUAUCAGAUGAUGCAGCGGCUUGACAUCAAGACAGUUGUUAAAGCUUCGGCGCCUGAAGAUGAGCCUGCGCUGAUUAGCUAGUUGGCGGGUAACGCCACCAAGGCAACGAUCAGUAGCUGGUCUGAGAGGAUGAUCAGCCACACUGGAACUGAGACACGGUCCAGACUCCUA
rnacentral:rRNA from 1 species